UUAUUUUAAUAGCUUUUUCUUAAGUGCCAAUUAGUGGAACAAAUACUUGAAGCAUGGGAAAUGAAUGAGAAGAAACAGGCUGAAGGAGGAAGGCGGCAUGGUUAUAUGGGUCAUUUAACAAGGAUAGCUAACUGUAUUGUGCACAGUACUGAUAAGGGGCCAAACAGCGCACUAGUACAACAGCUAUUAAAGAGCUUCCAGAUGAUGUCAGGGAGCGAUGGGAGACCUUCUGUACAAACUCCUUAGGAGAAACUAACAAAAGGAACACAGUGGCUCUAGUAGGUUUUGUAAGAUGAAGUUUGAAAAGUUACUGCAGUUAUAAGGGCAUCCUUUUCCCUUCCCAUGUGUCAGGGAUACAGUUGCACUGCAGCCUUUUCAGCCAUCAUGCUUCUCAGACAGAAUGUCUGCAAACCUCUCCAGUAGCUGCACUGUGGAAUUGGCACCUCCCUGUUUCCUUUGCAAAUAUGGCUGCCUUAUUGGCACUUUAAUAUGGUUUUGCAAGGGUGUUUGGAGUUGGGCUCAUAUUGUAUUGCACCUCACUCUUAAAGCACCACCCAACAGGAAGAUGUCACUUUGGGGUCUUUGCAAGUCCAAAACUGCUUGAAGAAUUGAGACUAAAAUUGCUGAAGCUGGGGUUUUUCAUAUGCAGUAUGUAAGCAAGCCUACAUACAGUUAAAGUGAAACUGCUUCCUGCAUCAUUGAAUGAUGCACACAAAAACCUACCUCACUUUUAAUGAAGAAAUAUAACUUUGCCUUGA